CCUACGGGGGGCAGCAGUGGGGAAUAUUGGACAAUGGGGGGAACCCUGAUCCAGCGACGCCGCGUGAGUGAAGAAGUAUUUCGGUAUGUAAAGCUCUAUCAGCAGGGAAGAAAGAAAUGACGGUACCUGACUAAGAAGCCCCGGCUAACUACGUGCCAGCAGCCGCGGUAAUACGGAGGGGGCAAGCGUUAUCCGGAUUUACUGGGUGUAAAGGGAGCGUAGACGGCGAUGCAAGUCUGAAGUGAAAGGCGGGGGCACACCCCCUGGACUGCUUUGGACACUGGAUGGCUGGAGUGCAGGAGAGAUAAGUGGAAUUCCUAGUGUAGCGGGGAAAUGCGUAGAUAUUAGGAGGAACACCAGUGGCGAAGGCGGCUUACUGGACUGUAACUGACGUUGAGGCUCGAAAGCGUGGGGAGCAAACAGGAUUAGAUACCCCUGUAGUC
rnacentral:rRNA from 1 species